GACGAACGCUGGCGGCAUGCCUAAUACAUGCAAGUCGAGCGAACAGAUGAAGUGCUUGCACUUCUGACGUUAGCGGCGAACGGGUGAGUAACACGUAAGGAAUCUACCUAUAAGCGGGGGAUAACAUUCGGAAACGGGUGCUAAUACCGCAUAAAAUCUUCUUCCGCAUGGAAGAAGAUUGAAAGACGGCUCUGCUGUCACUUAUAGAUGACCUUGCGGUGCGUUAGUUUGUUGGUGGGGUAACGGCCUACCAAGACGAUGAUGCAUAGCCGACCUGAGAGGGUGAGCGGCCACAUUGGGUCUGAGACACGGCCCAAACUCCUACGGGAGGCAGCAGUAGGGAAUCUUCCGCAAUGGGCGAAAGCCUGACGGAGCAAUGCCGCGUGAGUGAAGAAGGCCUUCGGGUCGUAAAACUCUGUUAUAAGAGAAGAACAAAUUGUAGAGUAACUGCUACAGUCUUGACGGUAUCUUAUCAGAAAGCCACGGCUAACUACGUGCCAGCCGCCGCCGUAA
rnacentral:rRNA from 1 species